CAGAUUCUCUGUAAAAAAAUCGCGCCAAGUACACGUUCAACACUAUCUAUGAAUGGAAAAAAUGUACUUUACAAAAAGCUAUAAAAUCUUGAAAACACCAAGUAACUGGUAGCAUUGGAAAUCAUGAGAAAAAUCUGAAUCAAAAUAUAUAAUGAAAAAAAAUGAUCCGAAUGUACUUGGUGUGCGUCACGAUUUCAUUGAGUCAAGUAAUUCACUGCAAAUCCACUCUAUAAGUGUAUUAUUUUAACACACAUGGAGUGUAUCCCAUGUUUGUCAUAAGCAAACUAUAGUUUUUUUGUAGUCAUUUCCCUGUUUAGAAAAUCUCAUAGAAUCCAAUAGAUUCUUAUGCAUUCCUAUAGGGAUUUUAUAAGAAUGAAUGAGUUCUAUGAGAAGCGCUAUAGUUAAGUAUAGGGCCUUAUACAUACAGCUAUAAGAAUCUAUCGGAUUUUUUAAGCAGGGUUGAUACACGUUUAACGGUGUGUUAAAUUUCUAUAGCUUGCUUGCCGCAUUUCAAUGUUUUUCGGCAAGUGUGUAAAUUUUGACUACACGCUUUUGAUUUUACAGUCAAUUUCUAUGAUCGAUUCUGAAUUUUAGUAAACUGCAAAGAAAUGACGAUAACAAGAAAAUUUAUUGUUUAAACGCACACCAAGUACAUUCGGAUCAUUUUUUUUCAUUAUAUAUUUUGAUUCAGAUUUUUCUCAUGAUUUCCAAUGCUACCAGUUACUUGGUGUUUUCAAGAUUUUAUAGCUUUUUGUAAAGUACAUUUUUUCCAUUCAUAGAUAGUGUUGAACGUGUACUUGGCGCGAUUUUUUUACAGAGAAUCUGUUUUUGGUGGGAUUUCUCUUUUUUUUGUAAAGCAAAGCAACUUCAAAUAUUAUCUGAAAGUUACAUUGUUUUUUAUAUUUCUGAAUAAAAUCCUUUGAUACAAUAAUUAUAAAUUUUUUAAUAUUACGAAACAUUUACAUGAAAUAAUCUUAGCAACUAAGAAAUGUGAGUUUUUUUUCAUUUUGCCGUCCUAUAUCCACCGCAGAUUGAGGGAAAAUUUAAUUCAGAGUUGUCAGAAAAUUUUUGUCUGCGUCGCCCCAUCUACGAUCAAACGUAGUGUAAUAUUUUGUCAAGUCGUCAAAUCAUUUUUAAGUUUAAAAUCAUUCUAUUGGCUCACAGUUUAAUCAUUAUUAGACAAUAAUAGUACACUAUAAUUUACCGCAUAAAUUGAAAUUAACUUUUAAAAAAGUAUUAUUGUAAUGAUUUUUUUUUUCUUGUGAGAAAAUAGAGAAUAUUUUUAGGAAAAAUUCUUUUUAAGAACAAUGACCCCCACUAUUGUUUUACUUUUAAGCGCCACUUUUUUUUAAAAUAUAACACAUGCCAACUUAAAUAAACAUCAAUAAACUAAUCAAUCGAAUUCUUGACUUCUAUGGUAAUUUUUAGUUAUUAUACCAUUAUCGAGUUUAACAAAACUGUUGAGAUACACGAAAUUAUUUAGAUCGAGUUUGUUAUAAAAAUUGUGAUGUAAAUAAUUUAUUAGUAUUUUCAGUUGAUGGAAACAGUUAUAAUUAAUUUUUUAAUAUUGAAAAUACUUUCGUGAUGAUAACUCAUCAUUUAGUCAUACAAUAGGAUUGAAAUCCAAGUUCAGUUGAGCGGGUAAAUAAGGAUAGUUUAAAAUUACCACUUUGUAGUGGAUAAUGUCACUUGCCUGUGACUAACAACAUUAAAAAUAUAAAAAUAUUUUAGUUUGUUUCUGUUGGCCAAACUGAGUUCCUGGUAAACUUACCAUAUUAUCAGAUUUGCCGAGCAUACCCCCUAAUAGCACGAUUUGCUUUAGCAAAAGUUUCCUUGAAUUUUUUGUCAAAUGACCGUCAGUUUCAGACUUUUUCGUUUUUGAUGACAAUUGGUAUACAACUUGCCAUACAAUUUGACGUUAAAUUACCACCCGAAUUAGAAUGCAAAUUCACUUCAAAAGUUUUAUACAAAUUGUCUUCAAAAACAAAAAUGCCUGAAAUUGACCGACAUUUGACGAAAAAUUAAAGGAUUUUUUCGUAAAGUUGAACUUUUGCUAAGCAAACCGUGCUAAUUGGGUUUUGUUUCUAAUAAAAAAAAGUUACCUCUACAUUGGGGAAAAAUUAACCGCAAAUUUUACUAUUCAACUUUCGCUGUUAAACUGACAGCAAAGUCAGGCAGCGAAUUGCAGGUAAUUUCAUUGUCAAAUUAUUGUCAAUUUCAAGCUAAAGUAGCCAUUAGGGUAGUUAAUAGUUGACCCAAACUUGCUUAUUCAUUCGUCAUGGGUAAAAUAAUAUUACGCAUUAGGCCUCUUUGUUUGUGCAUACGAGGGUAAUGAAAGCGCUCUCUAGUGUUGAAAAAUCAAGACAGAUUUUAAAAACUUUAAUGUUGAGUCUAUGGAGACUAUAUAGUCUCCAUAGUUGAGUUAAUCAUGCUCCUUCUUGAAACUAUUUAUUCUAAGACGGUAAUAAAUAAGCAUAUAUUAUAGAUGGAAAAAAUUUCUGAAAUCUCAAUUUUUAAGGUACUAUAGUAUAUGCUAACGUUUUUUAUAUUUUAAAAGAUAAAUAAUAAUAAAAUGUGAUAAAAUUCAGUUGGUAAACUUUGAGUGAGACACAAAUAUUUCAGAAAAACCAGAAAUGAGCCGUGUUUUAGUUUUAAUAAAAAAAAAUGUAACUCAUAACCAUAAAACACCACUCCGACUCAAGAAAAGAGACAGGUAGGCUCGCGCUACACACUCACACAUAUACAUGUGUUUGACCGUGUACUUGGCGCGAGACACUACCGUGUCUCUGGAUAUAUUUCUAAUUAUAUUAUUAACAUAGCAAUUUUUUUAUGAGAAUUUUCCAUUUAGAAAUUAACUUUUACUGAUACGUGAAUAUAAUAAUGUAGACUUGGUAUUAAAUAAUGAGUGAUGCUAGGAUUUUGAACUACUAAUGAUAUAUGCAUAUCGCCUAUCUGGAAUUCGUUGCAUCUACAACAUAGAGAUUAUAAGAAUCUGGGAUUAAAUUAUUAUGACGAGUAAAUCUAUAUGUUGUCAAUGUAUAGAAAUAUUUGAAAUAAUGAUUUAAUCCGGGCUUUCUAUAAAUUUGGAUUGAUAAAUUGGCCCUAGAGUCAAUCAAUUGACAGAGCCAUGAGAAAUUCAAAUUUGCAUUUUUACGAUAGCGCCACAGUCGUUACUUGAUGAUUUGGAACUUUUCAGCGUCUCAAUAAGCGUCAUCACAACCAUUUUGUAGUUGCCAUUGAUGAAUGUACCUGCUCGAAGUGAAUUUAGUGAUUUAAAUUAAUAAUAUUCAAUAUGAUUAAAUAUUUAUUAGUCAAAGAUAAAAAGCAACAAUAUUGCGUCCAUAUAAAACGCCACGUAAUAAUUGAUAAAAGAAGAGAUGACAUUUGUAACAAAAAAAUUCGAAUUAUGGGACAAAACAUUAAGUACCAAUAAGUCAUUUUUAUUUCGAAAAAAUUAAUUAAUGGAAUAAAAUUAAAUAAUUGAAGAUUGUCACAAUCGCAAACAUCUAAAAAUUUUUUCUUUAUAUGCAUAAUUUCUAUAAAUCGGAAAGUUUUUUUUUACGAAAUUGCAAUUAAUUUUAAAUAAUUCAUUAUUUUCAAUGAAUCCCUUGGUUUUCUAUUCUAUUAAUUUGGGUCUUGUUAUAUAUUUUCAGCGAAUCGGAUUAUUUUAAUUGAUAUAUGCAAUAAAUUAAAUACAAAUCAGCCUCAAAUAAACUUAUUAAGACGCAUACAAAUUUAUUACACUUUUUCAUUCAAAACCGGACAAUGGAGUGUCGAAAGGGAAUAAACCUAUAAUGAUAUCUAAUAUACGUAUUGAACCCAUUGAUUUAAAUAAAUUAAAAAGUGUCCGGUUUACUGAUCCAAAAAUAAGAAACAUCAGACCUUCAGACAUAGGAAAGGACUCGCGCGCAGGAGAUCAGGGUUCGAAUCUCGGUUGAAACAAGUGUUUUUUUAAAAAAUAAAAAUCAACACAAACACCAAUGCAGAUGACAUAAGUCACAAUAAUAAUCAAAAUAAUAAUAAAAAGUUAAAAGCUAAUAAAAAUUUAAUUUAAUUUUUUCCCAUUCUAAUAUAGUAAAACUUACUAAACGGAAUAGUAAAGUUUACUAAACGGGAUAGUAAAAUUUACUAAACAGGGAUAGUAAAAUUUACUAAAUAUAACUAGAAAUUUAGAUGCAAUAUACUAAAUUUUCCAUAACCAGUAUAUGCGAAAUUACUAAAUGACUUGUAAAAUAUGCUAAUCUUACGAAUUUUUCCUAUAAAUCAUAAGCGUUUCAAAAUUACUUUCCAGGUUUAGUAAUUUUUCUCAUAUUUUAUAGUAAAAUUUACUAUAUUUUUUUC